rnacentral:rRNA from 1 species
CUACGGGAGGCAGCAGUGGGGAAUCUUGCACAAUGGAGGAAACUCUGAUGCAGCGAUGCCGCGUGAGUGAAGAAGGCCCCUGGGUUGUAAAGCUCUUUCGUCGGGGAAGAAAAUGACUGUACCCGAAUAAGAAGGUCCGGCUAACUUCGUGCCAGCAGCCGCGGUAAUACGGAGGGACCUAGCGUAGUUCGGAAUUACUGGGCUUAAAGAGUUCGUAGGUGGUUGAAAAAGUUAGUGGUGAAAUCCCAGAGCUUAACUCUGGAACUGCCAUUAAAACUUUUCAGCUAGAGUAUGAUAGAGGAAAGCAGAAUUUCUAGUGUAGAGGUGAAAUUCGUAGAUAUUAGAAAGAAUACCAAUUGCGAAGGCAGCUUUCUGGAUCAUUACUGACACUGAGGAACGAAAGCAUGGGUAGCGAAGAGGAUUAGAUACCCUCGUAGUCCAUGCUGUAAACGAUGUGUGUUAGACGUUGGAAAUUUAUUUUCAGUGUCGCAGCGAAAGCAAUAAACACACCGCCUGGGGAGUACGACCGCAAGGUUAAAACUCAAAU